rnacentral:rRNA from 1 species
UACGUAGGGGGCAAGCGUUGUCCGGAAUCAUUGGGCGUAAAGCGCGUGUAGGCGGCUUGGUAAGUCCGCUCUGAAAGCCCGGGGCUCAACCCCGGGAGGCGGGUGGAUACUGUCAAGCUCGAGUCCGGAAGAGGCGAGUGGAAUUCCUGGUGUAGCGGUGAAAUGCGCAGAUAUCAGGAGGAACACCAGUGGCGAAGGCGAGUCCCUGGGAUGAUGCUGACGCUGAGGCGCGAAAGCCAGGGGAGCAAACGGG